AAAUCUCCCUUCGAAGGGAGACCGAUCGAACACUUGUGUGAGAUCAGAGGGAUGUU
rfam:Balneola sp. EhC07 strain EhC08 A6_Contig6, whole genome shotgun sequence.